rnacentral:tRNA from 1 species
GGAGGGGUUCCCGAGUGGCCAAAGGGGGCAGACUGUAAAUCUGUUAGCGCAGCUUUCGAAGGUUCAAAUCCUUCUCCCUCCA